GCGGAGGCCCACGUCUGGGCCGCGGGGAGGUGCGCGGCAAAAUGAAAAGGGCUCCCUUCUGAGUUCCCAGGCUGUGGCGUCUCAGGCCCUCAGCUGAGUUUCAGGUUGCUGUGGGGCAAGGCAAUGAGCUGACUCAUCUCCCAUCACAGCCCACCCCUGAGAACGUGCUGCCCGGCAGCUGAGAGCACGGUUUGCACCAUGUGAAAACGAGAGUGAAACCCCCGGGGGCGGUCCGCUGAAGUAUGUGCAAAAUGAAAGAAGCCCUCCCCGAGGCCUGCAGAGUUUCUCCCGUCUCCUCUUCUAUCUGCAAAACACCAGAUUUCACUGCUGCCAGAGAAAAAUACCGGGGUCAGCGUCGGUCCCUGGGCCCUUCUAAAUGGAGCAUCCUUCGAGUUAGUCACAGUCGCCUUGCACACACUCCUGUAUUUCACAGAUCCGGAAAUGUGUGGUCUCGGCUGGUUUCCUCCUGAAUCCUUGAAGCGCCCACUCAGCCUCUGCCUGAUGCUUCGGCUCCCAUGCAGUUUGCUGAAGUCACCC